CAGCCGCCGCGGGAAUACGCAGGUGGCAAGCGUUGUCCGGAAUUAUUGGGCGUAAAGCGCGCGCAGGUGGUUUAAUAAGUCUGAUGUGAAAGCCCACGGCUCAACCGUGGAGGGUCAUUGGAAACUGUUAAACUUGAGUGCAGGAGGGAAAAGUGGAAUUCCUAGUGUAGCGGUGAAAUGCGUAGAGAUUAGGAGGAACACCAGUGGCGAAGGCGGCUUUUUGGCCUGUAACUGACACUGAGGCGCGAAAGCGUGGGGAGCAAACAGGAUUAGAUACCCGCGUAGUCCCUGUCUCUUAUAC
rnacentral:rRNA from 1 species